rnacentral:rRNA from 1 species
UACGUAGGGUGCGAGCGUUGCCCGGAUUUAUUGGGCGUAAAGGGCGCGCAGGCGCCACGCGCGUCCGUUGUGAAAUCGCUCGGCUCAACUGGGCGAGGUCAGCGGAUACGGCGUGGCUGGAGCAAGCUAGGGGGCAAUGGAAUUCCCGGUGUAGUGGUGGAAUGCGUAGAUAUCGGGAGGAACACCAGUGGCGAAGGCGGUUGCCUGGAGCUUUGCUGACGCUGAGGCGCGAAAGCGUGGGGGAGCGAUCCGG